CCAUAAAAGAAUGCCGUAAAAAGCUACUUCUCUUGUAGUAGUUGCAAAUGCUAGUGGGAGUGAGCCUUUUAGUAAUGGAAGCAGCAGCAUAUGUCCUGGUGAAGUUUGGAAGUCUAAGAAUCUGGUGGAAGAAGGCAGUUCAAAUUAAAAGGACAAAUCUACAAAGAAGAAAUGGUUCAAUCUUAACCUUAGAGGAUUAGAGAAAAAGUUAGUAGAAAAUUAUUGAUCAUCUCCAAGUUUAAUUUUCAUUAUUGCAUGCGACUACAAGCUUU
rnacentral:lncRNA from 1 species